rnacentral:rRNA from 1 species
AUGAACGCUAGCUACAGGCUUAACACAUGCAAGUCGAGGGGCAGCAUUUCAGUUUGCUUGCAAACUGGAGAUGGCGACCGGCGCACGGGUGAGUAACACGUAUCCAACCUGCCGAUAACUCGGGGAUAGCCUUUCGAAAGAAAGAUUAAUACCCGAUGGUAUAAUCAGACCGCAUGGUCUUGUUAUUAAAGAAUUUCGGUUAUCGAUGGGGAUGCGUUCCAUUAGGCAGUUGGUGAGGUAGCGGCUCACCAAACCUUCGAUGGAUAGGGGUUCUGAGAGGAAGGUCCCCCACAUUGGAACUGAGACACGGUCCAAACUCCUACGGGAGGCAGCAGUGAGGAAUAUUGGUCAAUGGGCGCAGGCCUGAACCAGCCAAGUAGCGUGAAGGAUGACUGCCCUAUGGGUUGUAAACUUCUUUUAUAUGGGAAUAAAGUUUUCCACGUGUGGAAUUUUGUAUGUACCAUAUGAAUAAGGAUCGGCUAACUCCGUGCCAGCAGCCGCGGUAAUACGGAGGAUCCGAGCGUUAUCCGGAUUUAUUGGGUUUAAAGGGAGCGUAGGUGGACAGUUAAGUCAGUUGUGAAAGUUUGCGGCUCAACCGUAAAAUUGCAGUUGAUACUGGCUGUCUUGAGUACAGUAGAGGUGGGCGGAAUUCGUGGUGUAGCGGUGAAAUGCUUAGAUAUCACGAAGAACUCCGAUUGCGAAGGCAGCUCACUGGACUGCAACUGACACUGAUGCUCGAAAGUGUGGGUAUCAAACAGGAUUAGAUACCCUGGUAGUCCACACAGUAAACGAUGAAUACUCGCUGUUUGCGAUAUACAGUAAGCGGCCAAGCGAAAGCAUUAAGUAUUCCACCUGGGGAGUACGCCGGCAACGGUGAAACUCAAAGGAAUUGACGGGGGCCCGCACAAGCGGAGGAACAUGUGGUUUAAUUCGAUGAUACGCGAGGAACCUUACCCGGGCUUAAAUUGCAUUUGAAUAAUCUGGAAACAGGUUAGCCGCAAGGCAAAUGUGAAGGUGCUGCAUGGUUGUCGUCAGCUCGUGCCGUGAGGUGUCGGCUUAAGUGCCAUAACGAGCGCAACCCUUAUCUUUAGUUACUAACAGGUCAUGCUGAGGACUCUAGAGAGACUGCCGUCGUAAGAUGUGAGGAAGGUGGGGAUGACGUCAAAUCAGCACGGCCCUUACGUCCGGGGCUACACACGUGUUACAAUGGGGGGUACAGAAGGCAGCUACCUGGUGACAGGAUGCUAAUCCCAAGAGCCUCUCUCAGUUCGGAUCGAAGUCUGCAACCCGACUUCGUGAAGCUGGAUUCGCUAGUAAUCGCGCAUCAGCCAUGGCGCGGUGAAUACGUUCCCGGGCCUUGUACACACCGCCCGUCAAGCCAUGAAAGCCGGGGGUACCUGAAGUACGUAACCGCAAGGAGCGUCCUAGGGUAAAACUGGUAAUUGGGG